rnacentral:rRNA from 1 species
GACAAACGCUAACGGUGCGCCUAAUACAUGCAAGUCGAACGAGCGAUGUAGAAGUGGCAACACUUUUACAAAGCAAGUGGCGAACGGGUGAGUAACGCGUAGGUAAUCUGCCUUGGAGAUUGGGACAACCAUUCGAAAGAAUGGCUAAUACCAAAACCUUAUAUUAAUCGCAUGAUUUUUAUAAUAAAGGGGGCUUUUAGCUCUCGCUUCAAGAUGAACCUGCGUCCUAUUAGCUAGUUGGUGAGGUAGAAGCUCACCAAGGCAACGAUGGGUAGCCGGCCUGAGAGGGUGAUCGGCCACACUGGGACUGAGAUACGGCCCAGACUCCUACGGGAGGCAGCAGUAGGGAAUCUUGCGCAAUGGGCGAAAGCCUGACGCAGCGACACCGUGUGAAGGAUGAAGGUCUUCGGAUCGUAAACUUCUGUCAAUUGGGGACGAAGGUAAGUAGAGUUAAUACCUCGAAUACUGACGGUACCCAAUAAGGAAGUCUCGGCUAACUCCGUGCCAGCAGCCGCGGUAAGACGGAGGAGGCAAGCGUUGUCCGGAAUCAUUGGGCGUAAAGAGCGCGUAGGCUGUUUUUUAAGUCAUAUGUGAAAACCUCAGGCUUAACUUGAGGACUGCAUAUGAAACUGGAAAACUUGAGUGCAGUAGGGGAAAGUGGAAUUCCUGGUGUAGCGGUGAAAUGCGCAGAUAUCAGGAAGAACACCGGUAGCGAAGGCGGCUUUCUGGGCUGCUACUGACGCUGAGGCGCGAAAGCUAGGGGAGCAAACAGGAUUAGAUACCCUGGUAGUCCUAGCUGUAAACGAUGGACACUAGGUGUGGGGAGUUAUCGACGCUUUCCGUGCCGGAGCUAACGCAUUAAGUGUCCCGCCUGGGGAGACGGUCGCAAGACU